rnacentral:sRNA from 2 species
UAUCAUUAGCCUAAAUUUUAAAAACGGGGAAACCAAUUUUUGGGGUGAAUCGCAUAAUAUAUGCGUAGGUUUGUGCCUUUACCGAAUCCGUCAGCUAACCUCGUAGAAUAAAAGGAGGAAGA